rnacentral:rRNA from 1 species
GCGCAACCCUUAUCCUUUGUUGCCAGCGGUCCGGCCGGGAACUCAAAGGAGACUGCCAGUGAUAAACUGGAGGAAGGUGGGGAUGACGUCAAGUCAUCAUGGCCCUUACGACCAGGGCUACACACGUGCUACAAUGGCGCAUACAAAGAGAAGCGACCUCGCGAGAGCAAGCGGACCUCAUAAAGUGCGUCGUAGUCCGGAUUGGAGUCUGCAACUCGACUCCAUGAAGUCGGAAUCGCUAGUAAUCGUGGAUCAGAAUGCCACGGUGAAUACGUUCCCGGGCCUUGUACACACCGCCCGUCACACCAUGGGAGUGGGUUGCAAAAGAAGUAGGUAGCUUAACCUUCGGGAGGGCGCUUACCACUUUGUGAUUCAUGACUGGGGUGAAGUCGUAACAAGGUAACCGUAGGGGAACCUGCGGUUGGAUCACCUCCUUACCUGAAAGAA